UUUAGAUCAACAAGGGACUUCCCUGUAUUCAAGCAAGGCUACAUUCCCGUAUUCAAUGGGCAAUUUGUGGAUUCGACAUCAGACACAGAUGAAUGAGGUCCAGCCAAAGCUUUUACAAGGGACCUUCAAGUGCUUGGAAUGCAGUUUUGCCAUCAGGAAUGUCAAACAAUGGGAACCAGUAUGGCGGCUAAGUUUUUACGUGCUAAUGGAAUUACUAUUUUCAAAUUAUGAGAGGAAACUGUCAAUUUACUUGGAAAAUCGGACGUAUUGUUUUAGUCCUAAGCAUCGACCAUUGACUGAACUAGUUCAAAGGACAUCCAGUUAGGCUCUAGAUGAGAAAGAUAAAAUCAGGAGAAUUUUAAGGAUGCUUGUAUGAUAAAGAUGGGACUUUUGUGAUUUAGUGAGGUGAGAUUUCAUGUUUCUGCAUGUGGGUUUUAUUCUCAAGAGGAUUUUGAAUGGAAAAAAAAGGUGGGAAUUUUGAAUCUUUGAAUUAGUGCUGAAAUGGUGGUCAGAUUAGGGUGGAAUUUCAGUGGUUUUUUUU